AAACUUGACCAUAGCCAAAGGCUGAUUGAAAUUUACAAAUAAAAAAGACUUUCCUAAGUCGCCGCAACCGGUGUUACCAUUAACCCACUAAAGUGAACACGAAUUUGCAAAUAUUUUGACAUUUUCGGAAACACAGAAAUCCACCUGUGUUGGUGCGAUUGUCCGCUUGAGAAUUAGCGCCGAAAAUGUAACGUGCGCACAGAGUAAUAACCUGAAUGCUUGACAUUGCCGUGCACAUUUUAAUUGCCGACGCACACACAUGCAAAUGUGCGCAUGUUUAUGCAAUUCACUUGACAUAAUAUUUGCAUAUUCUACAGCUGGUAUAAUUCAAUCAAAGUCCAUUUUCGAAAUGCUGCUCACCUUAAUUAGUGC